rnacentral:lncRNA from 1 species
AAUGGUCCAGUGAGAGUGAAGGCAUAAGAUUCUGUAAAACAUGGCAUCUAGGUGUAUAUUUCUACUCGAUUCAUGGAAUAGCACAAAAUCUCACUUCAUUUAGCUAUUGUGGAUGCAAAUUUGUAGCCCUGAAUGUCGCCGCAAUAAACACCAUGUAAGUUCACUACACUAACAGGCCACAGCUUAAGAGAAAUGAUUUCUUUCAUGCCUAAAACAAGGCAUGAAACAAAGGUGGAGAUGACCAGCAGGCAGCACUGCAGCAGCGAUUCUAGCACAGAAUACAAUACUGACCAACAAGGCAUGUAGAUUGGCGUGCAUUCAGUGGAAGAGAA